CCCGCUGAGUUUAAGCAUAUCAAUAAGCGGAGGAAAAGAAGCUUACCAGGAUUCCCCUAGUAACGGCGAGCGAACCGGGAAAAGCCCAGCUUGAGAAUUGGUCACCAUCGGCGUUCGAAUUGUAGUUUGGAGAAGCGUCCGCAGCGGCGGACCGGGCCCAAGUCCCCUGGAAAGGGGCGCCGGAGAGGGUGAGAGCCCCGUCGCACCAAGAGGCGCUGUCUACGAGUCGGGUUGUUUGGGAAUGCAACCCUAAUCGGGCGGUAAAUUCUGUCCAAGACUAAAUACGGGCGAGAGACCGAUAGCGAACAAGUACCGCGAGGGAAAGAUGAAAAUCACUUUGAAAAGAGAGUCAAAGAGUGCUUGAAAUUGUCGGGAAGGAAGCAGAUGGGGAACGGACUCUCGGCAACUGAUAUCUCGGCUCUCGCAUCGAUGAAGAACGUAGCGAAAAUAUGAUACUUGGUGUGAAUUGCAGAAUCUCGUGAACCAUCGAGUCUUUGAACGUAAGUUGCGCCCCAAGCCAUUAGGCCGAGGGCACGUCUGCCUGGGUGUCACGCAUCAUCGCCCCCCAUCCAACCAUGAGCCCUCG
rfam:Gossypium raimondii Chr09_contig_1044, whole genome shotgun sequence.